rnacentral:rRNA from 1 species
AGACCCGAAACCCGGUGAUCUAGCCAUGGGCAGGUUGAAGGUUGGGUAACACUAACUGGAGGACCGAACCGACUAAUGUUGAAAAAUUAGCGGAUGACCUGUGGCUGGGGGUGAAAGGCCAAUCAAACCGGGAGAUAGCUGGUUCUCCCCGAAAGCUAUUUAGGUAGCGCCUCGUGAAUUCAUCUCCGGGGGUAGAGCACUGUUUCGGCUAGGGGGCCAUCCCGGCUUACCAACCCGAUGCAAACUGCGAAUACCGGAGAAUGUUAUCACGGGAGACACACGGCGGGUGCUAACGUCCGUCGUGAAGAGGGAAACAACCCAGACCGCCAGCUAAGGUCCCAAAGUCAUGGUUAAGUGGGAAACGAUGUGGGAAGGCCCAGACAGCCAGGAUGUUGGCUUAGAAGCAGCCAUCAUUUAAAGAAAGCGUAAUAGCUCACUGGUCGAGUCGGCCUGCGCGGAAGAUGUAACGGGGCUAAACCAUGCACCGAAGCUGCGGCAGCGACGCUGAUGCGUUGUUGGGUAGGGGAGCGUUCUGUAAGCCUGCGAAGGUGGCCUGUGAGGGUUGCUGGAGGUAUCAGAAGUGCGAAUGCUGACAUAAGUAACGAUAAAGCGGGUGAAAAGCCCGCUCGCCGGAAGACCAAGGGUUCCUGUCCAACGUUAAUCGGGGCAGGGUGAGUCGACCCCUAAGGCGAGGCCGAAAGGCGUAGUCGAUGGGAAACGGGUUAAUAUUCCCGUACUUGGUGUUACUGCGAAGGGGGGACGGAGAAGGCUAUGUUGGCCGGGCGACGGUUGUCCCGGUUUAAGCGUGUAGGUGUGUGUUCCAGGUAAAUCCGGUUCACUUUAACACUGAGGCGUGAUGACGAGGCACUACGGUGCUGAAGCAACAAAUGCCCUGCUUCCAGGAAAAGCCUCUAAGCAUCAGGUAACAUCAAAUCGUACCCCAAACCGACACAGGUGGUCAGGUAGAGAAUACCAAGGCGCUUGAGAGAACUCGGGUGAAGGAACUAGGCAAAAUGGUGCCGUAACUUCGGGAGAAGGCACGCUGACACGUAGGUGAAGUGAUUUACUCAUGGAGCUGAAGUCAGUCGAAGAUACCAGCUGGCUGCAACUGUUUAUUAAAAACACAGCACUGUGCAAACACGAAAGUGGACGUAUACGGUGUGACGCCUGCCCGGUGCCGGAAGGUUAAUUGAUGGGGUCAGCGCAAGCGAAGCUCCUGAUCGAAGCCCCGGUAAACGGCGGCCGUAACUAUAACGGUCCUAAGGUAGCGAAAUUCCUUGUCGGGUAAGUUCCGACCUGCACGAAUGGCGUAAUGAUGGCCAGGCUGUCUCCACCCGAGACUCAGUGAAAUUGAACUCGCUGUGAAGAUGCAGUGUACCCGCGGCAAGACGGAAAGACCCCGUGAACCUUUACUAUAGCUUGACACUGAACAUUGAGCCUUGAUGUGUAGGAUAGGUGGGAGGCUUUGAAGUGUGGACGCCAGUCUGCAUGGAGCCGGCCUUGAAAUACCACCCUUUAAUGUUUGAUGUUCUAACGUGGACCCGUGAUCCGGGUUGCGGACAGUGUCUGGUGGGUAGUUUGACUGGGGCGGUCUCCUCCUAAAGAGUAACGGAGGAGCACGAAGGUUGGCUAAUCCUGGUCGGACAUCAGGAGGUUAGUGCAAUGGCAUAAGCCAGCUUGACUGCGAGCGUGACGGCGCGAGCAGGUGCGAAAGCAGGUCAUAGUGAUCCGGUGGUUCUGAAUGGAAGGGCCAUCGCUCAACGGAUAAAAGGUACUCCGGGGAUAACAGGCUGAUACCGCCCAAGAGUUCAUAUCGACGGCGGUGUUUGGCACCUCGAUGUCGGCUCAUCACAUCCUGGGGCUGAAGUAGGUCCCAAGGGUAUGGCUGUUCGCCAUUUAAAGUGGUACGCGAGCUGGGUUUAGAACGUCGUGAGACAGUUCGGUCCCUAUCUGCCGUGGGCGCUGGAGAACUGAGGGGGGCUGCUCCUAGUACGAGAGGACCGGAGUGGACGCAUCACUGGUGUUCGGGUUGUCAUGCCAAUGGCACUGCCCGGUAGCUAAAUGCGGAAGAGAUAAGUGCUGAAAGCAUCUAAGCACGAAACUUGCCCCGAGAUGAGUUCUCCCUGAGACUUUAAGUCUCCUGAAGGAACGUUGAAGACGACGACGUUGAUAGGCCGGGUGUGUAAGCGCAGCGAUGCGUUGAGCUAACCGGUACUAAUGAACCGUGAGGCUUAACCUUACAACGCCGAAG